rnacentral:rRNA from 1 species
GACGAACCGAGCGAACGUUAUUCGGAAUCACUGGGCUUAAAGGGUGCGUAGGCGGGUCUUUAAGUCAGGGGUGAAAUCCUGGAGCUCAACUCCAGAACUGCCUUUGAUACUGAAGAUCUUGAGUCCGGGAGAGGUGAGUGGAACUGCGAGUGUAGAGGUGAAAUUCGUAGAUAUUCGCAAGAACACCAGUGGCGAAGGCGGCUCACUGGCCCGGUACUGACGCUGAGGCACGAAAGCGUGGGGAGCAAACAGG